rnacentral:rRNA from 1 species
UUUUAGCGGCGGACGGGUGAGUAACGCGUGAGCAACCUGCCUUCAACUGCGGGAUAACACUUAGAAAUAGGUGCUAAUACCGCAUAAGACCACACUCGGGCAUCCGAGAGGGGUAAAAGAAUUUCGGUUGAAGAUGGGCUCGCGUCCCAUUAGCUAGUUGGUGAGGUAACGGCCCACCAAGGCUAUGAUGGGUAGCCGACCUGAGAGGGUGAUCGGCCACAUUGGAACUGAGAAACGGUCCAAACUCCUACGGGAGGCAGCAG